rnacentral:rRNA from 1 species
UACGGAAGGCAGCAGUGGGGAAUAUUGCACAAUGGGCGAAAGCCUGAUGCAGCUAUGCCGCGUGUAUGAAGAAGGCCUUAGGGUUGUAAAGUACUUUCAUCGGGGAGGAAAAACAAAACUAAUAAUUUUAUUUCCUGACGUUACCCGAAAAAGAAGCACCGGCUAACUCCGUGCCAGCAGCCGCGGUAAUACGGAGGGUGCUAGCGUUAAUCAGAAUUACUGGGCGUAAAGAGCACGUAGGUGGUUUUUUAAGUCAGAUGUGAAAUCCCUGGGCUUAACCUAGGAACUGCAUUUUGAAACUGAAAUACUAGAGUAUCGUAGAGGGAGGUAGAAUUCUAGGUGUAGCGGUGAAAUGCGUAGAUAUCUGGAGGAAUACCUGUGGCGAAAGCGGCCUCCUAAACGAAUACUGACACUGAGGUGCGAAAGCGUGGGGAGCAAACAGGGAUUAGAUACC